AAGAAUAUUCUUUGACACAUUUUCUCUUCCUUUGAAAUUCUUAUAGGACAGAACAUGGACACAAUGCAAUUGGGAUCAAGAAGAAGAUCUUCUCAUGAAUGAAUCAAGUCCAUGGAAUGGAUAUAGACAAAAAGAGAAUUCAAGGACUAUCAGAGGUGGAGAGGCGAGGCAGGGGUGAGGACAUCAUCCUGCUAGGGCUGUAUUUUUUAUUUUCCCUUAAAUUUCCCCAAAAAUGUCAGAAAAACACUUAUGUUGUUAAGUUACUGUGUUCUGGGGAUAAGAGCAGUUGGGGUGAAGUUACCAGGGCCGGUCAUAAAGAUGGCAAACUUCCUAACAUAACUAAGUGGAUACGAUAUACACACUAAAAGCUGAAAAAUCUGUAUUUAGCAUCAAGUCUACAAUAUUGUUAGUUUACCUAUGAUUCAUUUUUAAUGUAUGUUGUUUUUAUUGUACAUCAUUAUUUAUAUAUUUUUUAAUGUCUUGAAAAGCACUAUACAAAGUAAAUGUAUUAUUUAUUAUGCUCUGACAUGUCUGCAGAAAUGUUGCAAUUUUGUAAUGUGUUUGGUUUGGUAAAUUGCUUUGUAAAUAUUAAUUCAUAUUUGUGGUGCCACUAAAUAAUCAAUGAUUUAUUUAAAUCGAUAUUGUCAAUAUUGUUAUUAUUAUUAAAAUAUGUUUUUACAAUGGAGGGAGGGAGGACAGGGAGUUUAAAAUAUGAACCCCAAAAGGUUAUUUUUCUUUUUAGCUUUUUGUCUGAAAGUAUUUUCUCAACUGCGAUACCAACUCGAGUCAGCAGAUGGCGAUGUGUGUCUUUCAGGUGAUUCUCUCACUGUGACAUAUAAUCUAGUGAACGGGCUCUUCAACAUCAACAGCUGGUCAGCCACCUUGGUUCACUAACUUUAUGGAAAAAGGUUUAUUCAAUAAAUCUAGCAACUCCUCCCAUACUGGUAAAAUACAGGAAUACACACUCAGAGCCUCCUGUUUACACCUCCAAGGUGCCCCCCUCACACAGGAAUAUACACUCAGAGCCUACGAGGCUUUUAUAAAAACUACACUUUGCGUGGUUCGUUCACCUCUUUUUAAAACUAGGUUUGAGAUGUGGUAUCCACUCGGCUCGCUGCCUCUCAGAUCAGAGGUGGGUCUAUCUGCUCCAUUCCCAAAGUGUGGUCUCCCUGAGAUCCCAAGUUAGAGCGAUCCCUGGAGCAACAUUUACCCAGGUCAUCAGAAGCGUCACCAAGUUAAGAUUAACAUCCCCAAAUGUGGUUAAUUUCUUUCAUAUCAAAUGAGACAAACUUAUCACACAAGUCAGAGAUAUUCUUAAACUAAAUCUUUAUUCACUUAUUAAUAAGGGAGCAGGUCAAGAAGACGCACACAUACAAAGUGAAUCAUUUGAGUGCUCUACGAUAAUUAUGGCUGGUUGACCCACAGGACAAAAGUACAAAGGUCUUUUAUAGCCAAGAUACACCCCUUUCAAACUACAUGACGAACAACAGAUGUACAGAACGGGUCACAAGGUUAAGAUUUGUAUGAAAGAAUCUGCUGUAUCUGCUGUAAAAACAGUAUUCUUUGUGUAGAGACCAGGGUCUGGCCCUGGGGUCAUCUCUCCCUGGUACCAUAUAGAACAGAAACAUUAACUCAUGCUCUGGAAUGCGGUCUCUUUAGGUUUUAUCACCCAAAAGACAUUGUAAAUCUCCUGUCAGUGUUUUCUCCCAGAGGCCCAUCCUCAGUAGAACACAGACACUAUAGUUCUAAGAACCCUCUAUUCUGUUGCAUAAAACAAACAUUUGAUCCAAUAAAAGUAUUAUAACAUAAUGUUGCAGUUUUGCUCUGUGUCCACUGAAAGUUGACUAGUAACAACAACUGGGACCUAAAAGACACCCACCAUGAGACCCACUAAAUCUGCCCAAGAAGAGGCAAACAAAAGAAAAA